UUUCCACUUCCUGAAGCAAUGGAACAUCCCACCUCCAAGCUUUUUCCUUGAAAAUUCAGGUUGCUAUGUUUAGAGUAAGUAAGUUCUAGCCUCGAGGUGGUGCAGACAGUUGAACCUUUGAGUACAAGUCUAAGAUAAGAUGCAACUCAUGCAACACUAUCAGUGAGGAUACCACUGCUGUGUCUUUGGGGCAAAAAAAGUUUGCAAGUGCAAAAAUCGGACUUGUCGUGCUCAAGGUAAUAUUACACUGGAACCUGGACAUGGAAGGGAAGUUUCCGAAAAUGAUAAUAUGAAGUUUGUGCCGUUAAUGCGCUUUCGUUGCAUGUAUAUAUACACAUAUAUACAUAGAUAUGUAUGUAUGUAUGUAUGGUGUGUGAGAUUUCAUCUAACUCAAUUUCCGUUUUUUGAUUUUUUUUUUUUUUUUUUCGUUUUCCAUCUAGAUAAGAUGCAACUCAUGUAACACUAUUAGUGAGAAGACCAUUGUUGU